GCAGGAGUCAAGAGCCUCGGUUGCAGCUCCCGCUGUGCCGCCCACGACCGGCUCUGGGGUCAGAUGAUCUGCUGGUUCAAAUCCUGACUCAGCCUCCUACUAGCCAGGCCAGUCUCUAGACCCCUCCCAGCCUCCAUGUCCUCACCUGAGAAAACAGGGUCACAAUACCUGCCUUGCCAACGUGGUGAGGACCAGCGGAGAAGAUGAAAGGGCUUAUAUUCCAAAGCCCACAAGGUUGAAGAUGCACACCCGUGACACAGCCUCAGGAUGUCCUGACGACAUGUGCCAAGGUGGUCAUACGUUUUAGGGAGACAUGAGACAUCAAUCAACACAUGUAAGAUGAACAUUGGUUCAGUCUGGAAAAGGCCGGGCAACGCCAAGCAAACGUGGGACAACUCGCAGCCAGGAGAAAGCUUCCAGGUCACAGUAUUUUUGACUUACCACGUGUUUAUUGGGACGUAACCCCUUCCUAAGAUGAAGAGCAUCUGUAUACAUCCAGAAUCCUGUGGAGCAACUCAUAACCCAUGAGGAAUGGAAGCCGACAGACAGACUCAUCCCCAGGACAGAUGGUUCUCACUACAUCUCAUAAAGCUUCUUAGAAGAUCUUACAGGAUUGAGCAACCAGCCAGCCACAGCAGGGGCCAACUGGAUAACACGUCUUUGCACAGGCUCUCCCUCUGUCCCUGUCACCCUCCCCUUUUCCUAACCUUGUUCCUUGGGAUUAUGUUUUGAAAUAAAUUAUUCAGAGAAAUGAAGCCAAAGCUGACCCAUUAGCCAAUAGCUAGGUUCUGUGAUGACAGAGCUUCUGGGCUAUAAUCGUUUACUGAGAAGCCAGCGUUCCUGAGGGGAUAAUGGCUCGUUCCAUUCAGCUGCAGCAUAGGAGUGAGGGCAGGGCAUUAGCAGAAGAUAACACCAGAAACGUGCUCUGGGGCCUGUUGAUGACUUUCUGUGCCAAGCGUAGACAUUUAGCCUUUAUUCUGUAUGUGAUGGGAAGCCAGUGCCAGUGGUGGGUUUGAGCAGGGAACCAGCAACCAGUGGUGGGUUUGAGCAGGGAACCAGCAAUACUCAAGCUCUGCUUGGAUGGAGGCCAGUCAGGGAGGAGUUAGGGCAGGAGGACCAGUCAGGGAGGAGACUUAGGGCAGGAGGACCAGUCAGGGAGGAGACUUAGGGCAGGAGGACUGGUCAGGGAGGAGUUAGGGCUGGAGGACGGGUCAGGGAGGAGACUUAGGGUAGGAGGACUGGUCA